AUGGGUGCAGGUCUUUGGGCCUGGACAGAAGCUGCUCCCCUCUGGGGUCAGCUGCGGCAGAGGGUCAUCAACUCUCAGUCCUUACAGAUGGGACUUCCUGAGCAAGUCCUGCCCUGGUUUACUCCAUUCUCCUGGAGGCUGCCGGAAGCAGGAAUCUUGUUUCCAGAGCACCAGGGUGCAGCGAGCAUUGCCAAUCGGUCCAAAGCCUUCUUCUCAUUGGGCAGGAACAAAACCUCACAAUCCUCAAUGCAGCUCUCUAAGAAUGGCACGUUUAGAGAUGGAUUAUUCCAGCAGCUUUCAAAUGUCUCCACAGCUGAACAUUUUUCACUAAGAAAACCAUCACCGGGAAAUGCUCCUUAUUCCAGGGAAUGUGAAAUUCAGGUUGUUUGCCCUUUCGGGGAGCUGCAGCUUGUCUUAGGAACCACUCAGAGGCGCUGCGGAGCUGAGGAAUGUCUGCACAGGAUGCCGUGGGAGCCGUUCAACCUGCAGAGGAUAAAAUGCAGAUGGUGGAAGGUGGUCUCUGAGUUGGAAGAGAAAGUGCUGAGGCCUCCAGGUGCAGACCACAUCUGCCCCGCAGGCACAGAGCCUCACCCCUCGCUACUCCACCGCCCAUCCACACUCACCAUGGAUGAUGAUAUCAUCACGCUCAUCAUCAAAAAUGGUUCUGGCAUGUGCAAGGCCAGCUUGGUGGGCGACAAUGCUCUCCGAGCUGUCUUCCCCUCCAUGGUGGGGUGCCCAGGCACUAGCGUAUGAUGGUGGGCAUGGGUCAGAAGGACUCCUAAAUGGGCAACAAGGGCCCAGAGCAAGAGGGGCUUCCUGACCCUGAAGGACCCCAUCGAGCACAGCAACAUCACCAACUGGGAGGACAUGGAGAAGAUCUGGCAUCACACCUUCUACAACGAGCUGCGUGUGGCUCCUGAGGAGCACCCCGUACUGAUGACUGAGGCCCCCCUGAACCCCGAAGCCAACCAUGAAAAGGUGGACCAUGUUUGAGACCUUAAACACCCCAGCCAUGUAUGUGGCCAUCCAGGCUGUGCUGUCUCUGUACGCCUCUGGCCGUGUCACUGGCAUCCUGAUGGAUUCUGGUGACAGGGUCACCCACACUGUGCCCAUCUACAAGGGGUAUGCCCUCCCCCACGCCAACCUACGUUUGCACCUGCCUGGCUGGGACCUGACUGACUACCUCAUGAAUAUCCUCACUGAGCGUGGCUACAGCUUCACCAACAUGGCCAACUGGAAAAUCGUGCAUGACAUCAAGGAGAAGCUGUGCUAUGUUGCCCUGGACUUUAAGCAGGAGAUGGCCACGGUAGCCUCCACCUCCUCCCUGGAGAAGAGCUGUGAGCUGCCAGACGGCCAGGUCAUCACCGUCGGCAACGAGCGGUCCCGCUGGCUCAAGGCACUCUUCCAGCCUUCCUUCCUGGGCGUAGAAUCCUGUGGCAUCCAUGAACCUACCUUCAACUCCAUCAGGAAGUGUGAUGUGGACAUCUGCAAAGACCUGAACGCCAAUACAGUACUGCCUGGUGGUACCACCAUGUACUCUGGCAUUACCGACAGGAUGCAGAAGGAGAUCACUGCCCCUGCGCCCAGCAUGAUAAAUAUCAAGAUAAUUGCUCCUCCCAAGCACAGGUACUCCGUGUGGAUUGGCGGCUCCAUCCUGGCCUUGCUGUUCACCUUCCAGCAGAUGUGGAUCAGCAAGCAGGAGAAUGAUGAGUCCAGCCCCUCCAGUGUCCACCACAAAUGCCUCUAGGUGGACUGUGACUUGCGUCACACCCUUUCUUGACAAACUUGAGCAGAAAACAAGAUGAGAUUGGCACGGCAUUGGUUUUUUUUUGCGGGGGGUGUUGGGGGUUUUGUUUUUGUUGUUGUUGUUUCUGUUUUGGCUUGACUCGGGAUUUAAAAACUGAAAUGGUGAAGGCGACAGCAGUCGGUUGGAGCGAGCAUCCCCCAAAGUUCUACAGUAUGGCCAAGGACUUUGAUUGUACAUUGUUCUUUUUUUUUUAAUGAUCAUUCCAAAUAUCAUGAGAUGCAUUGUUAUAGGAAGUACCUUGCCCUCCUAAAAGCCACCCCACUUCUCUCUGAGGAGAAUGGCCCAGUCCUCUCCUGAGUCCACACAGGGAAGGUGAUAACAUUGCUUCAUGUAAAUUACGUAAUGCAAAAAUUUUUUAAUCUUUGCCUCAAUACUUCUUUAUUUUGAAUGAUCGACCUUUGUGGCUACCCCAUUUUUGUUCCCCAACUUGAGAUGUAUGAAGGCUUUUGGUCUCCCUGGGAGUGGGUGGAGGCUGCCAGGGCUUACUUGUACACUGACUGGAGACCAGUUGAAUAAAAGUGCAUACC